rnacentral:snoRNA from 1 species
AAAAUCAUGUUUCAUAUGAUCUUUUUUGUAGUACGCUUUUUUAGUUGUUGACACAAAUUCGAUCACACCAAAGUGAUGAGGACUAGAUACGGGCUUACUUCCUGAUCGUUAAGAUAUGCUUCAGCCUCUUUUGUAAGGUUUUGUUUGAUGACCGUUUGGAGGCAUUUUGCCCUCUUAUGGAGUGGAGGUGUCAU